AAUCCUUCAUCCAGCUGGAAGGAUGUCCAUCAUCCUAGCAGUGGUAUUCCUAUUCCAAGCCUUAGCAUCAACGAUUGAUGUGCUGGCUUAGACAGGGAUGGCUGGCAUCGAAUAACGCAUCAGGCCUCAUCUAUGUGAUGUGAUUUUCAUUGUGCUUUUGGCUGGCAGAGGGGUGGAGAAAAUGCUUUUGGAUGUGGUGGUUUUUGUAAUGUUUCAGCUUGGUUGUAACUUGUAAAUGAAGGUAUCCAGCAAAAAAAAAAAAAAAAAAAACUGCUGUGAGGUAAGUAACUCUGUUGAUUGUUGACAGAUUUAUAAGAAAGUGGAAUAUUCUUGGUAGGAGACUAUUUAUAAAUGAAAAGAAAAAUUGGUACAUAUGGAGGUCCAUGGAUUCUGCAUCCCAUAAGCAUAAGAUACAUGGGUUGGUUUUACAAGCAAUCAACUGUACCAGGUUUGAACAUCUGUUUGUUAGAUUGGAAACUUUCGUUGAUGAGAUUAGUCAGAUACAAGUCAAUAUCUGCUUUGCGUUUUUGGGUUAUUUUGGACAUAUCUGUGAUGCAUAAACCAUUUCCAUCUGGAGUGUUUUUUUUUUCUUUUUCCCUUCUUAAUCUUAUGCAAUCAUGUCAUUUGUUUGUUGAAUGUCGUGAGUAAGAAAAUGCCCUUCUAUCACAGGAUUAGACAAUUCGAGGAGCUCAUGGCAUUGGGAAGUAGGUUGCUUGUUGGGUUUCACCAAGAGCUAGCUUGAGUCAUUUUUUUUUGCAGACAGCCCUUUACCACAUUCUAAACUGGAGGAAGUUCCAAGGUUGACUCACCACAUUGGACCCUACAAGGCAAACAAGCUAGAGUUUUGUAUCCUCAAGAGGAGAAAUUUGU